rnacentral:lncRNA from 1 species
UAAAUUUAAAAAAUUGAGAAAUUACCAAAAGCCCCCCUUUUCCUUUUUUCUUUUUCUUUUUUUUUUUGCUGGGCGUUGGGCCUAGGCCUGCUGGACAGUCUGCUGGGCCGAAUCUGCUGCUGGUCUGCUGGGUCAGCUACUGUUGGCUGGGCAGUGGCCUGCUGCGCUACUGGGCUGCACAAAGUGGGCCUGCUUGCUGGGCCACGUCGCUGGGCCUGUGGGGCUGCCUGCACACUGCGCUGGGCCUGGGGGCCUGCUAGGCCUGCUAGGCCUACUGCUUUUCUUUUUUUUUCCUGCUUUUUUUCUGUUUUGUUUGUUUUUUUUGGGCUGCUUUGGGCUUGGGACUGCUGCUGCUGGGUCGGGUCAGUUCACCGGAUCGGGUCGUGGGUCGGGCCGGGCCGGCCGGUUCGGGUCGGGUCGGCCCGGUUUUUGAAUCUUUUUUUCCUCUUUUUUUUCUUCUUUCUUUCUUCUUUCUUCUUCUUCCUUUUUCUUCUUCCUUCUUCUUCAAAGUUUAGUCUCCACCGUUGCUUGCGCCACCGUCGUUUGCUGCUGCCGACGCCACGGUGCCGCCGCCGUCUCCUCCUUCUUCUCUCUUCUCCUUUCUUUCUCUCUUUUUGGCAAAGCUUUUUCUCUUUUUUUUGUUUUUCUUUUUUUUUGAAAUCUCCCCCCUUGAUUUUGGGGUUUAAACCCCUUUUUAUAGCUGAUUUCUCUUUCUUUUUGCAGGUAGCAAGUGGGCUAGGGAGAGGUAGGCCGGCCGCCGCCGUUGCAGGCGCAAGUUGGGCUGAUUGCUGUCAGAGGGACCAAAAUGUAAAUACAGUAAAAGUUUUAGGGCUGAAACGUAAUUUAGAGAAAGUUUAGGGGUCAAAAUGUAAUUUAGAAAAGUUUAGGGGUUGAAAUGUAAUUUCGAGAAAGUAUAGGGGUCAAAAUGCAAUUUUUUAAUUUUUUUAAUUAAUUUUUUUAACACAAAAUUAUUCCCGGAC